AUGAGGUCCUUCUGGACAGACUGGAGAGUGUUAAGCUUGCUCAAUGAAUGGGAGGUUUUUGUACGAGCAGUAAUUGGGUUUGUAUCACUGUGGUCCACUUUUGGUAGCGGCACCAGACUUGAUGUUGGAAGUAACAGUUCCCCUACCCUCACCGUCCUGCCCCCCUCUAGUGAGGAGAUGUCCAGUAAGACAACAGCCACACUGAUGUGUCUGGCCAACAAGGGCUUCCCCUCAGACUGGACCAUGAGCUGGAAAGUGGAUGGGACCAGCAAAAAGCAGGACACCAGUCCCAGGGUCCUGGAGAAGGACGGCCUGUACAGCUGGAGCAGCACCCUGACUCUCACUGCCCAGGAGUGGACCAAGGUGUUGUUGGUGAACUGUGAGGCCCACCAGAGCUCCAAGCCUCCCGUCACCAAGAUCCUGAGGAGGGCUGACUGUUCUGGGUAGGACUCAUCAGUCACACACCUGUGGAUAGAGGCUGCUGGUUCCUCUGCUUUGACCUGCUUUGCUUUAAAAUCAGUCGUUCUCUGAUUUAGUGAUCACUCUAGUGUAGACUAACAAGGGGGCUUGAGUUCAUGUGUCAAUCAAUUCUGUAGCUUGAGAUUUUGUUUGUUUUAGAUUUGAUGUGAUCUGAUUUUAUUCAUUAUCAUGGUUUGCUUUGAUGCUUCAAUUAUGUAAUAAUGGAUUAAAAUAAAUAUUUAUUUCUGGAAUGCA